AUGCUGGAGGUAUCAGAAGUGCGAAUGCUGACAUAAGUAACGAUAAAGCGGGUGAAAAGCCCGCUCGCCGGAAGACCAAGGGUUCCUGUCCAACGUUAAUCGGGGCAGGGUGAGUCGACCCCUAAGGCGAGGCCGAAAGGCGUAGUCGAUGGGAAACAGGUUAAUAUUCCUGUACUUGGUGUUACUGCGAAGGGGGGACGGAGAAGGCUAUGUUGGCCGGGCGACGGUUGUCCCGGUUUAAGCGUGUAGGCUGGUUUUCCAGGCAAAUCCGGAAAAUCAAGGCUGAGGCGUGAUGACGAGGCACUACGGUGCUGAAGCAACAAAUGCCCUGCUUCCAGGAAAAGCCUCUAAGCAUCAGGUAACAUCAAAUCGUACCCCAAACCGACACAGGUGGUCAGGUAGAGAAUACCAAGGCGCUUGAGAGAACUCGGGUGAAGGAACUAGGCAAAAUGGUGCCGUAACUUCGGGAGAAGGCACGCUGAUAUGUAGGUGAGGUCCCUCGCGGAUGGAGCUGAAAUCAGUCGAAGAUACCAGCUGGCUGCAACUGUUUAUUAAAAACACAGCACUGUGCAAACACGAAAGUGGACGUAUACGGUGUGACGCCUGCCCGGUGCCGGAAGGUUAAUUGAUGGGGUUAGCCGCAAGGCGAAGCUCUUGAUCGAAGCCCCGGUAAACGGCGGCCGUAACUAUAACGGUCCUAAGGUAGCGAAAUUCCUUGUCGGGUAAGUUCCGACCUGCACGAAUGGCGUAAUGAUGGCCAGGCUGUCUCCACCCGAGACUCAGUGAAAUUGAACUCGCUGUGAAGAUGCAGUGUACCCGCGGCAAGACGGAAAGACCCCGUGAACCUUUACUAUAGCUUGACACUGAACAUUGAGCCUUGAUGUGUAGGAUAGGUGGGAGGCUUUGAAGUGUGGACGCCAGUCUGCAUGGAGCCGACCUUGAAAUACCACCCUUUAAUGUUUGAUGUUCUAACGUUGACCCGUAAUCCGGGUUGCGGACAGUGUCUGGUGGGUAGUUUGACUGGGGCGGUCUCCUCCUAAAGAGUAACGGAGGAGCACGAAGGUUGGCUAAUCCUGGUCGGACAUCAGGAGGUUAGUGCAAUGGCAUAAGCCAGCUUGACUGCGAGCGUGACGGCGCGAGCAGGUGCGAAAGCAGGUCAUAGUGAUCCGGUGGUUCUGAAUGGAAGGGCCAUCGCUCAACGGAUAAAAGGUACUCCGGGGAUAACAGGCUGAUACCGCCCAAGAGUUCAUAUCGACGGCGGUGUUUGGCACCUCGAUGUCGGCUCAUCACAUCCUGGGGCUGAAGUAGGUCCCAAGGGUAUGGCUGUUCGCCAUUUAAAGUGGUACGCGAGCUGGGUUUAGAACGUCGUGAGACAGUUCGGUCCCUAUCUGCCGUGGGCGCUGGAGAACUGAGGGGGGCUGCUCCUAGUACGAGAGGACCGGAGUGGACGCAUCACUGGUGUUCGGGUUGUCAUGCCAAUGGCACUGCCCGGUAGCUAAAUGCGGAAGAGAUAAGUGCUGAAAGCAUCUAAGCACGAAACUUGCCCCGAGAUGAGUUCUCCCUGACCCUUUAAGGGUCCUGAAGGAACGUUGAAGACGACGACGUUGAUAGGCCGGGUGUGUAAGCGCAGCGAUGCGUUGAGCUAACCGGUACUAAUGAACCGUGAGGCUUAACCUU
rnacentral:rRNA from 1 species